CUNNNGACCCNGCGCACGGGUGCGUAACGCGUAUGCAAUCUACCUUUUACUAUGGGAUAGCCCAGAGAAAUUUGGAUUAAUACCAUAUAGUAUAUUUGAAUGGCAUCGUUUGAAUAUUAAAGAUUUAUCGGUAAAAGAUGAGCAUGCGUCCCAUUAGUUAGUUGGUGUGGCAACGGCAUACCAAGACGAUGAUGGGUAGGGGUCCUGAGAGGGAGAUCCCCCACACUGGUACUGAGACACGGACCAGAUUCCUACGGGAGGCAGCAGUGAGGAAUAUUGGUCAAUGGAGGCAACUCUGAACCAGCCAUGCCGCGUGCAGGAUGACGGUCCUAUGGAUUGUAAACUGCUUUUGUACGGGNAAGAAAACAACUACGAGUAGUUAAUUGACGGUACCGUAAGAAUAAGGAUCGGCUAACUCCGUGUCAGCAGCCGCGGUAAUACGGGAGGAUCCAAGCGUUAUCCGGAAUCAUUGGGUUUAAAGGGUCCGUAGGCGGCCUUAUAAGUCAGUGGGUGAAAGUUUUUGGCUUANCCAAAAAUUNGCCAUUGGAUNCUGUAGGGCUUGAAUUUCUGNGAAGUANCUAGAAUAUGUUAGUGUAGCGGGGAAAUGGCUUUANAUUUUUCNUGGAAUUACCGAUUGCGAAGGCCGGUUACUAACANAUGNUUGACCCUGAUGGACCAAAGCGUGGGUAGCGAACAGGAUUAAANACCCUGGUAGNCCCCCCCUNAACGANUGNAACCUNGCUGUUUGGUUUUC
rnacentral:rRNA from 1 species